UACGUAGGGGGCAAGCGUUGUCCGGAAUUAUUGGGCGUAAAGCGCGUGUAGGCGGCUUGGUAAGUCUGGUGUGAAAUCUUGGGGCUCAACCCCAAGCCUGCAUCGGAUACUGCCUGGCUAGAGUCCGGGAGGGGAGAGCGGAAUUCCCAGUGUAGCGGUGAAAUGCGCAGAUAUUGGGAAGAACACCGGUGGCGAAGGCGGCUCUCUGGAACGGUACUGACGCUGAGACGCGAAAGCGUGGGGAGCGAACAGGAUUAGAAACCCCCGUAGUCC
rnacentral:rRNA from 1 species